rnacentral:rRNA from 1 species
GACGAACGCUGGCGGCGUGCUUAACACAUGCAAGUCGAGCGGUAAGGCCCUUCGGGUACGACGAGCGGCGAACGGGUGAGUAACACGUGGGUGACCUGCCUCUAGCUCUGGGAGUAAGCCUGGGAAACUAGGGUCUAAUACCGGAUAUGACUCCACGGCGCAUGUUGUGGGGUGGAAAGCCUUGUGUGGCUAGAGAUGGGCCCGCGGCCUAUCAGCUUGUUGGUGGGGUGAUGGCCACCAAGGCGACGACGGGUAGCGGCCUGAGAGGGCGACCGGCCACACUGGGA